rnacentral:lncRNA from 1 species
CGGAAGAGGGGUUUUGGAAAGUGAAUAACUAAGGGGUGGAGGGUUGCAGCGAGGGACAACCAUGGAAGAAGAUCAACCAGGAGAGAGAGGGGGCAGGAAAAAAAGGUGAUGCAGGAGGAUUGAUAGAUAAGGAAAAGGACCACCUUAUUUUAGUUAGAAUCAAAAGUCACAUGACCUUCUUCUAUUCGAUAAGUUUUUCAUGUUAUUAUGUGCACGAAUUUCAUAUGUUUAUUUACUGAUUAGUCAUGAGACACUCAGUAGGCACAUUAUGAGCUGAGUUCAGGUGAUCUAAUAGGUAUAAAACUCAAUUUCGGUCUUUAUGUUACUAUUGUUGCCAAUCCAAUAACGAGGGUGGAGGUGGGUUGCAAGUUGCAACAAUAACGACCGUGAAAAAAGAGGCAACCAGGGUAGGAGGAAAGGGGCCUGGGGAGACGGGCGUCGCAUUUGAGAACACUCUGCGACUUUUUUCCUCAAAAACCC